rnacentral:lncRNA from 1 species
CUACAGAGAGCCAACAGUUUUCACUCCACGGCAUUAAAUAAGUACCAGAAUUGGAGGAAAAAGCUCCAAACGAGUUUCCCUCUACUGUCAAGCAAGAAACCUGGGCUACGUGGGAAGGACAGCUCAGCCAGCUGCCAAAAUGGUCCUGGGGAGGAUCACUCCCAGACACAGUUAUCAUCUUACAAGAAACCACCAGAAGUUACAAGAGGACAGUUCAAACCUGACAGCCCAGUAUUUCAAAGGAAAGAAAAAUCCAGAGAGGUUUCUGGAGACAUCCAUCUGUAUGUGCCCCACUGCCCUUUCCAGAGCAGCACCAGAGGUUCUGCACGGACCCCUCCUGGGAAUGGGACACUGGCUGCUGAUAUUUCUGAGCCUAAAGAUAUAGAUGGUGCCAUUGGGACAUACACAGCCCAGGGCUGGAAGGAAAGAAAACAGAAAUAUACCUCUGAACCAGAAGAUUUUAACAGGAAGACAAAAGUGCUGCCAUCUCUGGAUUUGAAAGAGAAAGAUGCCAAAAAUACAAGGAACC